GGUAGGGGAGGGUUAGGGUGGGAAGAGGGUAGCGGACGCUCAUAGAUUAAGGAUUGGGCCGUGGAACAUAGGGACUCUGACGGGUAAGUCCACUGAGUUGGCGAAGGUUCUUCAGAAAAGGAGGGUUAACAUAGCCUGUGUCCAGGAGAUUAGGUAGAAAGGGUAUGAUAGGUUAAUGUCAUUAAGUUGGUUAUUGGGGGUUGCGUCCUUAACGUCAUCAGCACUAACGUGCCGCAGGCAGGCUUAGACGAGGAGGUUAAGAGGCGCUUUUGGGAGGACUUGGAUGAUAUGGUGAGUNNNNNNNNNNNNNNNNNNNNNNNNNNNNNNNNNNCUUUUGGGAGGACUUGGAUGAUAUGGUGAGUAGUAUUCCCCAAUCUGAGAAGUUAGUUAUUAGAGGGGACUUUAAUGGUCAUAUUGGGGCUGAUGCUCGUGGGUAUGGUGAGGUGCACGGUGGCUUCGACUUUGGGGUUAAGAACAGAGGAGGCACGUCACUGCUUGAUUUCGCCAAAGCUUCCGAGCUUCUGAUUGCGAACUCGACAUUUCAGAAGAGAGAGGAGCACUUGGUCACCUUCAAGAGUUCGGCCGCGAGGACUCAGAUUGAUUACCUCCUCCUUAGAAGGAGCGAUAGCGGUAUGUGCAAGGACUGCAAGGUUACUCCGGGAGAGUCCCUUUCGACUCUUCAUAGACUUCUAGUGAUGGAUGUCGGUCUUUAGAUGAAGAGGAAGAGGAGGGGGGCUCGGGGACAACCGCAGAUUAGAUGGGGCGUUUCGACUAAGGAGAAAGCACAGGAAUUGGAGAGGAGGUUAGCUGAGGGCGGAGCUUGGAGAAGUUCUGGGGAAGCGGACGCUAUGUGGUCAGAGACGGCGAACUUGGUUNNN
rnacentral:lncRNA from 1 species